rnacentral:rRNA from 1 species
AGUGAACGCUGGCGGUAGGCCUAACACAUGCAAGUCGAACGGCAGCACAGUAAUAGCUUGCUCUUACGGGUGGCGAGUGGCGGACGGGUGAGGAAUACAUCGGAAUCUACUUUUUCGUGGGGGAUAACGUAGGGAAACUUACGCUAAUACCGCAUACGACCUACGGGUGAAAGCAGGGGAUCUUCGGACCUUGCGCGAUUGAAUGAGCCGAUGUCGGAUUAGCUAGUUGGCGGGGUAAAGGCCCACCAAGGCGACGAUCCGUAGCUGGUCUGAGAGGAUGAUCAGCCACACUGGAACUGAGACACGGUCCAGACUCCUACGGGAGGCAGCAGUGGGGAAUAUUGGACAAUGGGCGCAAGCCUGAUCCAGCCAUACCGCGUGGGUGAAGAAGGCCUUCGGGUUGUAAAGCGCUUUUGUUGGGAAAGAAAAGCAGCAGGUUAAUACCCCGCUGUUCUGACGGUACCCAAAGAAUAAGCACCGGCUAACUUCGUG